AUUGAACGCUGGCGGCAUGCCUUACACAUGCAAGUCGAACGGCAGCACGGACUUCGGUCUGGUGGCGAGUGGCGAACGGGUGAGUAAUACAUCGGAACGUGCCUAGUAGUGGGGGAUAACUACUCGAAAGAGUGGCUAAUACCGCAUGAGAUCUACGGAUGAAAGCAGGGGAUCGCAAGACCUUGUGCUACUAGAGCGGCCGAUAUCGGAUUAGCUAGUUGGUGAGGUAACGGCUCACCAAGGCGACGAUCCGUAGCUGGUUUGAGAGGACGACCAGCCACACUGGGACUGAGACACGGCCCAG
rnacentral:rRNA from 1 species